UACGGAGGGGGCGAGCGUUGUCCGAAGUUACUGGGCGUAAAGGGAGCGUAGGCGGGUUAUCAAGUUGGGGGUGAAAGCCCGGGGCUCAACCUCGGAAUUGCCUUCAAAACUGAUAACCUGGAGUAUGGAAGAGGUAAGUGGAACUCCGAGUGUAGAGGUGAAAUUCGUAGAUAUUCGGAAGAACACCAGUGGCGAAGGCGACUUACUGGUCCAUUACUGACGCUGAGGCUCGAAAGCGUGGGGAGCAAACAGG
rnacentral:rRNA from 1 species